rnacentral:rRNA from 1 species
AUUCCAGCUCCAAUAGCGUAUAUUAAAGUUGUUGCGGUUAAAAAGCUCGUAGUUGGAUUUCUGCCGAGGACGACCGGUCCGCCCUGCGGGUGAGUAUCUGGGACGACCUGGGCAUCUUCUUGGAGAACGUGUCUGCACUUGACUGUGUGGUGCGGUAUCCAGGACUUUUACUUUGAGGAAAUUAGAGUGUUUCAAGCAGGCCCACGCCUUGAAUACAUUAGCAUGGAAUAAUAAGAUAGGACCUCGGUUCUAUUUUGUUGGUUUCUAGGACCGAAGUAAUGAUUAAGAGGGACAAUUGGGGGCAUCCGUAUUUCGUUGUCAGAGGUGAAAUUCUUGGAUUUACGAAAGACGAACAACUGCGAAAGCACUUGCCAAGAGUGUUUUCAUUA